rnacentral:rRNA from 1 species
GGCAAUUAGGUCUCGUUGGUGACCAGCGGAGGGAUCAUUACAGAGUUGCAAAACUCCCUAAACCAUUGUGAACGUUACCUAUACCGUUGCUUCGGCGGGCGGCCCCGGGGUUUACCCCCCGGGCGCCCCUGGGCCCCACCGCGGGCGCCCGCCGGAGGUCACCAAACUCUUGAUAAUUUAUGGCCUCUCUGAGUCUUCUGUACUGAAUAAGUCAAAACUUUCAACAACGGAUCUCUUGGUUCUGGCAUCGAUGAAGAACGCAGCGAAAUGCGAUAAGUAAUGUGAAUUGCAGAAUUCAGUGAAUCAUCGAAUCUUUGAACGCACAUUGCGCCCGCCAGCAUUCUGGCGGGCAUGCCUGUUCGAGCGUCAUUUCAACCAUCAAGCCCCCGGGCUUGUGUUGGGGACCUGCGGCUGCCGCAGGCCCUGAAAAGCAGUGGCGGGCUCGCUGUCGCACCGAGCGUAGUAGCAUACAUCUCGCUCUGGUCGCGCCGCGGGUUCCGGCCGUUAAACCACCUUUUAACCCAAGGUUGACCUCGGAUCAGGUAGGAAGACCCGCUGAACUUAAGCAUAUCAAUAAGCCGGAGGAA